CGCGUGACAGAGAGGAAGUGUCGAAUGUCGGACUAGAGACUGUUUGUUUGGAUCUGGAGAACAUAUAAACUGUUAAAAUUGCACUGCUGUUGAGGUGAUCAGUUUUGUGCUGAUUGGCAGCGUGAAAUCACAUGGUUCUACUUACUUAUGUGACCAAAUAUGGUUCCAUGCUUCAUAAAAGGUCAGCUGCUUGAGGUAUGUGCUGUCGCAGUGAUAGACCAGUGAGGGGGAAGAUGGAUUAUUGAUCCUGCAUCAGCACAAAAGAGAGUAAAAACACGCUCGUCAAUCAAUCAAGGAGAGGAUUUCCAGGAAAGCCCGCAGCUCAGAGUGUCAUCAGUGAGCUGUAAGGAUUUGUCAAAAAUGAAGAGUGUUCACGCUCGUGAUCUGCACAACCCUGGAACAACUGCCAAUACCUGUGUGGCCGACUGUCUCUAAACAGGAACACGCUGUUGUUUUGAAAACGCAAAUAUUACAUUCACCUAUCACUUAUAAGAUCACAGAGUAUUUUAAAAAAAUGUUUAUUUUUAAUCUGCAUAGGUCAAUCAGAUAGUGUUGAUGUGAGUAGUGUUGCUUCAGUGCUUUGGUGACAUCGCCCACUGCUGGCCUGGAAUGCACCUUACAGUGUUUUUCGAUGUUUGUUUCGACAU